rnacentral:rRNA from 1 species
UAUUAUUUAAAAUGUAAAUUUAGAAAUAAAAGUAGUAAGAGUUAUGUUCUUGAAACUUAAAAAAUUUGGCGGUAUUUUAGUCUAUCCAGAGGAACCUGUUUUGUAAUCGAUAAUCCACGAUGGACCUUACUUGAAUUUGUUAAUCAGUUUAUAUACCGUCGUUAUCAGAAUAUUUUAUAAGAAUAAUAAUAUUCAAUAGUUUUUAUAAAAAAUUAUAUCAGAUCAAGGUGUAGCUUAUAUUUUAGUAAUAAUGGGUUACAAUAAAUUUAUUUAAAUGGAUAAAAUUAUGAAAAAAUUUUUAAAAGUGGAUUUGGUAGUAAAAUUAUAAAGAUUAAUAAUUUGAUUUUAGCUCUAAAAUAUGUACACAUCGCCCGUCGCUCUUAUUAUUAAAGUAAGAUAAGUCGUAACAUAGUAGAUGUACUGGAAAGUGUAUCUAGAAUGA